AGACACUUAGUUUAAUAAAAACCUUUGAUUUCGGCUCAAAAAAUUGCUGUUAAAACCUGCAAAUGUCUU
rnacentral:tRNA from 1 species